CUGUAUUGUUUGUUGUAAGUUAACCCAAAGUCACAAGACCUUCCACAAUACAUUACUAUCUAUCAGUGGUGGUGUAGGUGCAAGAGAAGAGACAGGAAAGGUGUCUGUGUGACACUUCCCUCUGUUCAGUAUUAUUCUAGUGAGCAGAGAUUGUAGCCGAAUGUGAGAUCACAUCCCUUCGACUUGCCAAUUAGACCCCAAUCAUUAGAAGAAUACCGUGAGGAAAACGGUCAUGACGAACAUCUCCUGCCUCGUCCU